rnacentral:rRNA from 1 species
GAUGAACGCUGGCGGCGUGCCUAAUACAUGCAAGUCGAGCGAACGGACGAGAAGCUUGCUUCUCUGAUGUUAGCGGCGGACGGGUGAGUAACACGUGGAUAACCUACCUAUAAGACUGGGAUAACUUCGGGAAACCGGAGCUAAUACCGGAUGAUAUUUUGAACCGCAUGGUUCAAAAGUGAAAGACGGUCUUGCUGUCACUUAUAGAUGGAUCCGCGCUGCAUUAGCUAGUUGGUAAGGUAACGGCUUACCAAGGCAACGAUGCAUAGCCGACCUGAGAGGGUGAUCGGCCACACUGGAACUGAGACACGGUCCAGACUCCUACGGGAGGCAGCAGUAGGGAAUCUUCCGCAAAGGGCGAGAGCCUGACGGAGCAACGCCGCGUGAGUGAUGAAGGUCUUCGGAUCGUAAAACUCUGUUAUUAGGGAAGAACAUAUGUGUAAGUAACUGUGCACAUCUUGACGGUACCUAAUCAGAAAGCCACGGCUAACUACGUG